GCGGGUAUAGCUUAAUCGGUUAGAGUACGACCUUGCCAAGGUCGAGGCGUGAGUUCGAUUCUCACUAUCCGCU